UUGUUGUUGUUGCUAUUUCUUGGGAUGUUUUUCGGUUUUAGAGUCUGUGUCCCCCACUGUCCAUCACUGAGCCUGCGGGGGCGGGGGUUCUGCACCCAUGAAGGCAUUUGCCUGGCACUUAUUGUCAAGUUGAAAACUUGAUCCGUUUUUUCAAGGGUGAAUGGGGCUCCAAAGAGUGGAGAGAUGAUGUCCCCUUGACUUGGAAAGACUAGAGGGCAGGUUUCAGACAGUGUCAAAAUGCCCAGAGCCCCCUCUGGUGACAAGGUGUGCAGUUUUGAUGAGGCCUACCAGGAGCUCUCCCUUAGCCCACAAAGCCCCACCAGCCACUCGGCCCUAGAAGCCGGGUCCAUUGGCAAAGAAACCUCAAGGGAAAGUCUCCGGCCAGUGAACUAAGUUCACUAAGAACAUACUCAAGAGCACAACCGACCUCAAAUCCCAGGUGACCCAGGAAGGGAAGGCCAGCACCACGAGAAAGACUCUUCUCUCUCUCUCUUUUUUCCUUAUGGCUACACCUGCGACGUAGGAAGCUCCCAGGCUAGGGGUUGAAUGGGGGCUGCAGCUGCCUGCCUACACCACAACCACAGCAAUGCUGAAUCCAAGCCACAUCUUCGACCUACACUACCACUUGCAGCAACAGUGGAUCCUUAACCCACUGAGCGAGGCCAGGGAUCGAACCUGCGUCCUCAUGGAUACUAGUCGGGUUCCAUGAGCCACAAGGGGAACUCUGAGAGGCUCUUCUUUAAAGCAGAACUCACGCCUCCUCCUUCUAAUUAAGCAACAGAUAGAGUCUGUUCUUAGGCGUGUUGGUGGUCUGUCCAUCAUAGCCCAAGGUAAGGGUGUCUAAUAGCCCAUCGUUCGUCUCCCACUGAGGUUGGGACUAAACCCAGACAAAAGCCACACAAAACCCACCAUGCCUCCAUACGGCCCAGGAGAGACGGCUGCCAGCCUGACAUGAUCUGGCAAGGUCCUACAGGCCUGCCCGCCCUUGGUUCUCUCUCCAUCCUGGGUCCGACACGGUCCCCUAGACCCGAGUCUGAAUGGACAUCGAUCGCCAGAGAGGGGGGCUGGUCCUCGGUCAGUAAUUACCGCCUUUGUCCAGCCAGCCCGCCUUGAUCAGAAGAGAGCGCCACCGGGGAAUAGGGCAGAGGCACUGCCUAGAAGAGGUGAGAGAGUCAAGGAAAGAUGCUGGAAGAUGGGGAAGCGCCUGGGACCCACCGGUCCCAGCAGGAUGAUAGAUGAAGCCGCCGUCCCCCCCUGUCAGACAGCCCUGGGUUCAAAUCCGGCUCCUCCACUCCCCUCCUAGCUCUGUGAUACUGGGACGACUACCUCACGUCUCGAAGUAACAGCAUCUGCGAAGCACGGAUGUUUCCUACUUGGUGGUGUUGGAGGAUUGAAGGAGCUCAGGCAGGGAAAGCUAAGCAGUGUCUGGCACGUAACAGACACUCGCUAACAAGGCUUUUCCUCUCCUCCGUGGGCAGGACUGUGGCAGCCUCUUCGCCAUGGUCCUUGGACCUCCCCCUUAGGAUAACUUUCACAUCUUGUCUUUGCUUUUCUGCUGACAGUUCAGGCAACAUUACAGGUCAAUUCACCUGCAGCAGCUCUGAGCUGAGGUUGCGGCUGGAUACCACCUUGCCUGCAGCCCUGAGCCCUGCACACUGGGAACACCAACAGCGGUCAAACGUAUUGACCUGUAUGUCUUUUUACUCCCAGAGGCCUCUCUACAAGGGCAAUUCAGAGGGCUAUUCAUUUUUUAUUGUGAUAGAUAGUCAUAUCUAUCUUUGGCUUAAUUGCAAGGCUUGAAUUUUUAACCUCUAAAGCGAUAGUGAGUUGUUAAUUUUCUGUUUUGCCUUGUGAUGAAGUAGAAAAGCCAGAAUGUCAGCAAUCUGGGAAGCCCCUGCUGCUCCCCAGCACCAUGCUGGGCACGAGGAAAACAGAGUCAAAGACGAACCUGUCCCCCUGGGCGUUCACAGCCUCGGUGAGGAGCGGAAGAAUGUAAACUCAAUUAAAUAGAAAACGGUUGGGGGGCGAAUGGAACACAGGGGUGGUGAGCCUGUGGGGGGAUGGAUGCGUGCCCUUGGGACUUGGAACUGGAGGCAAUUCCAUUGCUGAGGUAACUACACACUGACACAAGACGGGUCCGGAGGGAGGGCACGUUUCCUGAGAGAGAGAGAGAGAGAGAGAGAGAGGGAGGGAGGGAGGGAUGGGAGUCAUGGCUGUGAUCUUACAGAAGGUGUUCAAAGCUAAGGAAUAAGUGUGUCAAUCUGGAGAUUCAGACACGGUCCCCCAAAGGCAAUGGUCCCCCUUUGAGGACCAGGGGGUCUCCGUCCCAGGGGACCCAAAACAGAACAUCUAUUUCCAUCUUGUCUACCCGUUAAAUUGUCUAUGUACGGGUAUGCUUUCCAGUGUGCAAAAUAUAUUAGUCCAGGAGAAUAUGAUUUAUAAAUAAGUAGAUUCAUUGGGUGUUUGCGCUCAAAAUGGGGUUUUCCCCCUCUUGUGGGGCACAUUAAAAAGGAAUCUGAAAAACCACUGAAAAUUGGUAGGAAAGUAGCCCUGCCACACCUUGCCCUUGGACUUCAGCCUCCAGAACUGUGGGAAUUCACGUUUCUGCGGUUUGAGGCCCCCAGGUGCUGGCGGGAGAUUGGAAGCCUCUCCAGUCCGCAGGGAACCCGCCCCUCUUUGGUGCCCCAGCUCCCCCAGCUCCCAGCCUCAUUCCUCCCAGGCUGCCUCAUUCUGAGUCCUUUGGAAGCAGCAGAAGCUGGAUCAGGAAAUAACUCUCCCACCAGCCCCAGACUAGCACCACCUGCCCAGCCUUCCGCUUGUGCCUCUUCUCCACACGUGGCUGGGGACACCCCUGUGCCAGCGCCCCCCAGGACUGAAGCCAUCACUGGUCAGUGACUUGCCCAGCUAAGUAAGUUGACAGCUAUGAGCAGUAUCAAAAUCCAUCCCUAAUUAUUCAGUCUACACCCUUGGCAGAUGACUGCCAACAUGCUCCCCAUGUCUGCCAAGUGACUUCCAAACUUUUUCUCUUUUGGUCUUUUCAGGGCCGAACCCUCGGCAUACAGACGUUCCCAGGCCAGGGGUCGAACCCACACUUCAUCAGCGACGGGAGCCACUACAGAGACAACACUGGAUUCUUACCCUGCAGAAACUGUGAGAUAUUUUUACUCACAUUGUGAUUCCUACACAAAAUGCCAAAGUGUGAAAAAUAAAUUUUUCUUGGGAGGUGAUACGGACCUCAGGAGGGCAGUGGACACUGUUGUGAAGAAAACUCACCGGCUUUAAGCGACAUAUCUAAGUUCUUUGGCCUCAGUUGUCUCAUCGAGAAAGUGGGAUUAAACGUUUCCUUAUCUGAGUGUUGUAAGCACUGCGUUUGGUCCAGAGUUAAGCUUAGGAAUAGUCGAGAAAUAAGUUUCGAACAAAGUGUCAAGCUGCAUGACAAAGAAGCAUCUCUCUUUCAUUAAUGUCCUGUGACAGAGUGAGCAGCAGAGACACAAUGAAAGGAUUCCGUAGCAGUUGAUUUUUCACAGAGACGAGAAAAGUGGUUUCUUUCUCUGUCCCAGAACUAAGGCUUGGUCAGAGGAUUUCAACAGAUAAUAACCAAAUGUCUGCAGGAAAUUUGCAGAAACAAUUGAUUUCCUUCCCAAGGACUGGAAAUGGCGCGGGCAGUUGGGCAAUAAAGGAGCUGCCGUAAUUUUCUGCUCCAUUUCUACGACGGCAACAAAAACAUGAUGGCGGAGAACACCGCCAAGUGACAAUCUUCAUUUCAUUCCUCGGGGCUGGAAAACACAUCCGUUUAUUAAGUCUCUAAAAGCUGGAACCACAGAUUGCAGCAACGAGAUGCGACAGAGAAAAGAUUAGUUGGGUUGAGCCAACCGUAUGUGGCAACCGAAUGAAAAGAUGGUUCGAAAUGGUGCCCGUAUGGAGAAGCAGCGGGCCAGUCCCUGGGAAGAGCAUGAACAAAGAGGUCUCAUUUACAUCCGACGUGAAGUGUGUCUUCCUAGGCGCCUGGCAAGCUCCCUAGAAAAGGAGAUUAAUGCAAGUGGGGAAUAUGAACUCUCUCUAGCAAACCACGUCCAUUUUCCGCCUGGGGAGGGCUCUGAGUGAUGGAUGCCACUGACCUUGGAGGAGGAGGAUGUGAACGAGGUCUGUCCCAGUGCCUUCCGCUGCUUCCCGACUCUUCCCAACUUGCCUUUCACAGUGAAGUCUCAUCUGUCCCAACAUCCCUGGGCAAAGAGCGAGUCCACCUGAAUGCAUUUCACCAAAAAGAGGCUUUCCCUCUGUUCAAAUUUCAAAUGCUGAUUUAUGUCAAGUUGAACAUAUUUGUGUAGAAGUCUUUUCAGAAUUAAUGCCAGGCUUCCCUGCCCUCUCGGCAGGUACCCGUUUGGUGAGCUGGCCUAUGAGUCAGUACAGGGCACAGAGCCGGCUUAGAAGGGCACUAGACAGUGUCCCAUGCUUCUUGCUCUAUCACUUUAUUUCUUUUUAUAAUUCAAGGUCAUCAAUGUGACUCCUGCAGAGGGAGGGGUGCCUCUGUAGAGGUGGACAAGGUGUGAGAUGAAGCUGGGGAGAUACAAAGGGCUAUAUGCUUUUUGAGUAUUUGCGCCUGAGAUUUUUCUCCCUUACCCCUUUCACCACUAGGCUCUAUGAAUGGCCAUUUCUUGGUCCUCUUGUCCACGGUGCCCUCCCAGGCUCCGUGCCCUCCCUGAACACCAGACCUGCUCCUAAGACUCUCCGCUGGAAAGCUCCAGAAGAACACGGAACAGGUAACUCAACAGACACUGCCAGAACCGGCACCUGCUCUGACUCCCCAAACCUCGGCCCCCCACUCGUCCUCCUCUCAGCAAGGGAAACUCCAUCCUGCCAGUUACUGAGGUCCCAGGACUUGGAGUCACUCUUGACGACUUUCCUUCUCUCUCCCCACCUCCAGGGAAAUAAGCAAAUCCGGGAAGCCUGACCCUCAGAAGAGGGAGGAGGCAGAAGCUGAUGACUCCUCCCCUUCCCACGGCAGCCACCCUGGUCCAAGCCACCGCCUCCUCUCUCCUAGGUCACUGCAGACUUCCCACCUGGCCGCCUGGUUUCUGGCCUCGUCUCCCUGUAAUCAAUCCAAGGAUUCCUCCAAGUCACACUCGGUGGGUGGCCUGUGAGGUCCAUGCCUCUGGACUGUCAUGAGCCCUCUGACCUUGUCACCUUCCUCCUUCCAGUCCACUAGGCUCCACCC
rnacentral:lncRNA from 1 species